rnacentral:rRNA from 1 species
ACAGUCACACAUUAGAUACCCCCGUAGUCCCAGCCGUAAACUAUGCUCGCUAGGUGUCAGGCAUGGCGCGACCGUGUCUGGUGCCGCAGGGAAGCCGUGAAGCGAGCCACCUGGGAAGUUCGGCCGCAAGGCUGAAACUUAAAGGAAUUGGCGGGGGAGCACAACAACGGGUGGAGCCUGCGGUUUAAUUGGACUCAACGCCGGACAACUCACCGGGGACGACAGCAAUAUGUAGGCCAGGCUGAAGACCUUGCCUGAAUCGCUG